rnacentral:rRNA from 1 species
UACGUAGGGCGCAAGCGUUAUCCGGAAUUAUUGGGCGUAAAGAGCUCGUAGGCGGUUUGUCGCGUCUGCCGUGAAAGUCCGGGGCUCAACUCCGGAUCUGUGGUGGGUACGGGCAGACUAGAGUGAUGUAGGGGAGACUGGAAUUCCUGGUGUAGCGGUGAAAUGCGCAGAUAUCAGGAGGAACACCGAUGGCGAAGGCAGGUCUCUGGGCAUUAACUGACGCUGAGGAGCGAAAGCGUGGGGAGCGAACAGG